ensembl:lncRNA
UGUGUUGUAGAGCAGUGCAGAAAUUCAAGAGCUGCAGGUGAAAACCUGCUGUAUUUCAGCAGAGCAGCCAGCUUUUCAAUCAUGGCAAGGUUCCGAUAAAUUGAAAGUUAAGGGAUGGUAAGCGUGGAACAAAAUUCUUCUUGGGAGAGCGUUCCAAGGUGGAACUGUGGGGACACAGACACAAGAUCUAUGGAUAAAAAUUUGCUGUUUGGUGCUGUUUUGAGCCUGCCAGUUCUUAGGAGUCAAGGUCAGAAGAAAAUGAAGCAACAUGAAUCAAGCAUUCAUUAAAGCUAGCUCUUCAAGGCAUACGUGCAGACUGCGAGACUUUUUUUGUUGCACUAGCAGGUGCUGCUUAGUUUUUUUUAUGUCUUUGAGAGUCUGGUGGCCAAGAUGAAUGGAGGAAAAUCACCAAGCUGCUUAAGGAAAAGCAUCACCACCCGAUCGUUCCUCUUGAUCAGCUUUGAAGAUGCAUCCCACUCUCUGAUAAAAAAGAAGGAAGUUAUAACAAGGUUGCAUGCCUUCUUCUGGAGGAAAGCUUUAUUUAGAUUCUUGUACUCUGUGGCAAAGCUGUCUUUCUGUGUAUAAUGCCAGGUUUUGGUGCACGUCAUCCUGUUCAAAGUCAUUGGCCAUAGCAUUGGACCUUCUCCAUGGAACGUUUUUCUUUAAACGUGGCAUGAAGCACAUUCAAGGCAAUACCAGAUCAUACCGCGCUGAGCGCUUUAUUACUAGAGACUUUUGGACAGAAACGUGUAAUCUAGAUUCUCUGAAUCAAUAGGCAGAUGGUAACUACUUUGCUUUUCAGUAUUUUUUCAACUGGUACACCAGAUUUAAAUAACUUGCUUCCACACAUCUGAAGAAGAAAUACUGAUAUAACUAAGCUUACCUUUGAGACAUUUACAAAUAUUUGAUUGUUUUUUUUCCCCCUGCUAUCCCUCUGUUCCAUCUUCUGCCCCCAACAAGGAACUUUAACAUUCUCUUCUGUUGAAGUAAAUAACCUUUCAUGCUACGCAGACUCUCCUGAGCAAGGAUGGGGGAUUAUUUCACUCCACCACUGAGACACACAGGGUUGCCUAGGUGAAAAGCCAGCUCUCACAUCUUCCCUCCAUACGCUUUGUUGCUGCUCUUAUCACUGAGAUAUGAGAUCGUUGUGAC